AUAGAGUUUGAUCCUGGCUCAGAUUGAACGCUAGCGGGAUGCCUUACACAUGCAAGUCGAACGGCAGCGGGAAAGUAGCUUGCUACUUUUGCCGGCGAGUGGCGAACGGGUGAGUAAUGUAUCGGAACGUGCCCAGUAGCGGGGGAUAACUACGCGAAAGCGUGGCUAAUACCGCAUACGCCCUACGGGGGAAAGGGGGGGAUCUUAGGACCUCUCACUAUUGGAGCGGCCGAUAUCGGAUUAGCUAGUUGGUGGGGUAAAGGCCUACCAAGGCGACGAUCCGUAGCUGGUUUGAGAGGACGACCAGCCACACUGGGACUGAGACACGGCCCAGACUCCUACGGGAGGCAGCAGUGGGGAAUUUUGGACAAUGGGGGAAACCCUGAUCCAGCCAUCCCGCGUGUGCGAUGAAGGCCUUCGGGUUGUAAAGCACUUUUGUCAGGGAAGAAAAGGUUUCGGAUAAUACCCGGAGCUGAUGACCGUACCUAAGA
rnacentral:rRNA from 1 species